AUGUUCACUUCCGCAGCACAUAUAGUAAAAUUGGGACGGUACAGAGAAGAUUAGUAUGGCCCCUGCACAAGGAUGACAAAUUCGUGAAGCAUUCCAUUUUUUG
ensembl:snRNA U6 U6 spliceosomal RNA